GCUGCUAUGAUUCCCAUUCCAUGGAAGGUCCCCUUACCAUCAAUAGUAAGGAUGUUGUGGUCAACCAGCAAAAAGAAGUGCCAUGUCCAGCACAACUAUGCCAUCCGCUAACAUAUCUGGGGCAACUGAAUCUGCAGCAUUCUUUUCAAAAUGCAAAACUUCCUUGUGUGAUGAAGCAAAUCCCAUUGCAUGAAGCGUAUCCACCAGGAAUUGUGACCGAUACAUUUAUUGUGCCUGCACUGCAAGGCCAAGUUGUAAUGGAGCUACCACAACACAUGGUCGUGCUGCCUGGCCAAUAGCCUGUCCAAUUCCUGCAACCUUUCGGCUUGUCUCCUUACCCACAAAAAGACCAUUCAAAAGUGUACAGAGUCUCGGGAACAAACGAAAGGGCAGAGUCAAGCUCAAGUGACUUUGUGCUCGGAUACUGAUCUGUAACGGACGGGACAUUGGUCAAUCGCGCACCUGUUUGAAUGAUCGCUUGUUUCUGGGAUUCCUCAUCCUUUUCUUGAUCGCUGAAAUAAGUUUGUAGUAUCUGUGAUGUCUUCUCUCUCAUUGUCACUAUGUCAUGGAGGCCUUCCCCUUCAGUGAAAUGUACAUUGUCCUGGUACUGUUUUCUCAAUUUUCUCUUGAGGUAUUGAUUUCCAUAUGGUUCAGAAUCUGGGUUUGUCAGAGAUUCCUUCAUUUUGUCUCAAAGAUGUAUAAUUGUCAACUGUUCCUCAUCAUUACUCUCGAGGUAAGAGCAAACGUUCACAAAACUUUCAUGCUCCUGAUCUUCAUUUUAGGGCCAGUCAGACUUUCUGCACUUUGCCUCUGGGUCUUUCUGGAACUGUAUCGUUAUGUAUAUCCAUUACGAAAACCACUACUGAAUAACUGGUGUUAAAUACAGUCUGCAGCAUGUAGAUCACGGCCAUAAUACUCGAUCCUGCCUUUGACAGUGAAAGCCCAUUGAUCUGCAUGAUUGUCACAACACUCUGUUGAAGAAUGGACUCUGGCACUUCUUUUUGGUGGCUCAGCUUUAUAUUCUUGCUGGAUUUUAAUGUCUUUUUAUUUAUGUACUUCUGUCGACAUUUUGAGUGUACUAUUUCACUAGCGGAAAUGUGUACGUCGUCACCUCUUUGUACACUUGCAUUGUUAAUCAGCUCUCUUCUGAUGAACCUCAACCACAUCAGAGCCAUCUCUUAAGUUUUUACAGCAAAUGGGGCAAAAUUCUUGGUUUACAACAACAUGACUCAAAAUGUCAAAAUUGCAUUUGUUGUGUACUUUUUCCUCAAGCUUAUUCAACAAUGUCAUCCUCUCUUAACACACUCACAUUGUUGGCCUUUUUCAUGUGUUAGAUAUCUGGGUGGUGGUGCGGUGGAUGAGCGUCAAGGAUGAAUUUUGUUUGAGCAAAACGGUAUACUGUGCUGCCAACAACAUUUCAAUGAGGCAAGCAAUAUCAAAUCUGUCCAGAGCAGCACCUUCUCCUCAGACUCCCAGUGUGUGGUAUGAAUCACGGACUCACUGUACUUGUUUUGCUCCGGUCAGCAUGAGCUGCAUCACCUCUUUCUGUGGGUUCAGGCCACGGGCUCCUGGGAUCGGACCGUGAGAGUCUGGAAACUUCUUGAGGAAAAAGAGCCUGUGACGUUACAGGGGCUCCAAGGGAACAUGACCUGUGUCUGUUUCUCUUUUAGUGGGAUGCUGGCCUCAUGAUCAUGGGACGGCACAGUGCGUGUUUGGUUGUAGGUUGGUCA